rnacentral:rRNA from 1 species
UACGGAGGGGGCUAGCGUUGUUCGGAAUUACUGGGCGUAAAGCGCACGUAGGCGGCUUUGCAAGUCAGAGGUGAAAGCCCGGGGCUCAACCCCGGAAUUGCCUUUGAGGCUGCAUCGCUAGAAUUGUGGAGAGGUAAGUGGAAUUCCGAGUGUAGAGGUGAAAUUCGUAGAUAUUCGGAAGAACACCAGUGGCGAAGGCGACUUACUGGACACAUAUUGACGCUGAGGUGCGAAAGCGUGGGGAGCAAACAGG